rnacentral:rRNA from 1 species
AUUGAACGCUGGCGGCAGGCCUAACACAUGCAAGUCGAACGAGCGGCGGACGGGUGAGUAAUGUCUGGGGAACUGCCCGAUGGAGGGGGAUAACUACUGGAAACGGUAGCUAAUACCGCAUACUAUCGGAUGUACCCAGAUGGGAUUAGCUAGUAGGUGGGGUAAUGGCUCACCUAGGCGACGAUCCCUAGCUGGUCUGAGAGGAUGACCAGCCACACUGGAAAUGAGACACGGUCCAGACUCCUACGGGAGGCAGCAGUGGGGAAUAUUGCACAAUGGGCGCAAGCCUGAUGCAGCCAUGCCGCGUGUAUGAAGAAGGCCUUAGGGUUGUAAAGUACUUUCAGCGGGGAGGCGUUACUCGAAGAAGAAGCACCGGCUAACUCCGUGCCAGCCGCCGCGGUAAUUC